rnacentral:rRNA from 1 species
GGGUUGUGAGGUUAAGCGACUAAGCGUACACGGUGGAUGCCCUGGCAGUCAGAGGCGAUGAAGGACGUGCUAAUCUGCGAUAAGCGUCGGUAAGGUGAUAUGAACCGUUAUAACCGGCGAUUUCCGAAUGGGGAAACCCAGUGUGAUUCGUCACACUAUCAUUAACUGAAUCCAUAGGUUAAUGAGGCGAACCGGGGGAACUGAAACAUCUAAGUACCCCGAGGAAAAGAAAUCAACCGAGAUUCCCCCAGUAGCGGCGAGCGAACGGGGAGCAGCCCAGAGCCUGAAUCAGUGUGUGUGUUAGUGGAAGCGUCUGGAAAGGCGUGCGAUACAGGGUGACAGCCCCGUACACAAAAAUGCACAUGCUGUGAGCUCGAUGAGUAGGGCGGGACACGUGGUAUCCUGUCUGAAUAUGGGGGGACCAUCCUCCAAGGCUAAAUACUCCUGACUGACCGAUAGUGAACCAGUACCGUGAGGGAAAGGCGAAAAGAACCCCGGCGAGGGGAGUGAAAAAGAACCUGAAACCGUGUACGUACAAGCAGUGGGAGCACAGAGCAAUCUGUGUGACUGCGUACCUUUUGUAUAAUGGGUCAGCGACUUAUAUUCUGUAGCAAGGUUAACCGAAUAGGGGAGCCGAAGGGAAACCGAGUCUUAACUGGGCGUUAAGUUGCAGGGUAUAGACCCGAAACCCGGUGAUCUAGCCAUGGGCAGGUUGAAGGUUGGGUAACACUAACUGGAGGACCGAACCGACUAAUGUUGAAAAAUUAGCGGAUGACUUGUGGCUGGGGGUGAAAGGCCAAUCAAACCGGGAGAUAGCUGGUUCUCCCCGAAAGCUAUUUAGGUAGCGCCUCGUGAAUUCAUCUCCGGGGGUAGAGCACUGUUUCGGCAAGGGGGUCAUCCCGACUUACCAACCCGAUGCAAACUGCGAAUACCGGAGAAUGUUAUCACGGGAGACACACGGCGGGUGCUAACGUCCGUCGUGAAGAGGGAAACAACCCAGACCGCCAGCUAAGGUCCCAAAGUCAUGGUUAAGUGGGAAACGAUGUGGGAAGGCCCAGACAGCCAGGAUGUUGGCUUAGAAGCAGCCAUCAUUUAAAGAAAGCGUAAUAGCUCACUGGUCGAGUCGGCCUGCGCGGAAGAUGUAACGGGGCUAAACCAUGCACCGAAGCUGCGGCAGCGACGCUUAUGCGUUGUUGGGUAGGGGAGCGUUCUGUAAGCCUGUGAAGGUGUACUGUGAGGUAUGCUGGAGGUAUCAGAAGUGCGAAUGCUGACAUAAGUAACGAUAAAGCGGGUGAAAAGCCCGCUCGCCGGAAGACCAAGGGUUCCUGUCCAACGUUAAUCGGGGCAGGGUGAGUCGACCCCUAAGGCGAGGCCGAAAGGCGUAGUCGAUGGGAAACAGGUUAAUAUUCCUGUACUUGGUGUUACUGCGAAGGGGGGACGGAGAAGGCUAUGUUGGCCGGGCGACGGUUGUCCCGGUUUAAGCGUGUAGGCUGGUUUUCCAGGCAAAUCCGGAAAAUCAAGGCUGAGGCGUGAUGACGAGGCACUACGGUGCUGAAGCAACAAAUGCCCUGCUUCCAGGAAAAGCCUCUAAGCAUCAGGUAACAUCAAAUCGUACCCCAAACCGACACAGGUGGUCAGGUAGAGAAUACCAAGGCGCUUGAGAGAACUCGGGUGAAGGAACUAGGCAAAAUGGUGCCGUAACUUCGGGAGAAGGCACGCUGAUAUGUAGGUGAAGUCCCUCGCGGAUGGAGCUGAAAUCAGUCGAAGAUACCAGCUGGCUGCAACUGUUUAUUAAAAACACAGCACUGUGCAAACACGAAAGUGGACGUAUACGGUGUGACGCCUGCCCGGUGCCGGAAGGUUAAUUGAUGGGGUCAGCGCAAGCGAAGCUCUUGAUCGAAGCCCCGGUAAACGGCGGCCGUAACUAUAACGGUCCUAAGGUAGCGAAAUUCCUUGUCGGGUAAGUUCCGACCUGCACGAAUGGCGUAAUGAUGGCCAGGCUGUCUCCACCCGAGACUCAGUGAAAUUGAACUCGCUGUGAAGAUGCAGUGUACCCGCGGCAAGACGGAAAGACCCCGUGAACCUUUACUAUAGCUUGACACUGAACAUUGAGCCUUGAUGUGUAGGAUAGGUGGGAGGCUUUGAAGUGUGGACGCCAGUCUGCAUGGAGCCGACCUUGAAAUACCACCCUUUAAUGUUUGAUGUUCUAACGUUGACCCGUAAUCCGGGUUGCGGACAGUGUCUGGUGGGUAGUUUGACUGGGGCGGUCUCCUCCUAAAGAGUAACGGAGGAGCACGAAGGUUGGCUAAUCCUGGUCGGACAUCAGGAGGUUAGUGCAAUGGCAUAAGCCAGCUUGACUGCGAGCGUGACGGCGCGAGCAGGUGCGAAAGCAGGUCAUAGUGAUCCGGUGGUUCUGAAUGGAAGGGCCAUCGCUCAACGGAUAAAAGGUACUCCGGGGAUAACAGGCUGAUACCGCCCAAGAGUUCAUAUCGACGGCGGUGUUUGGCACCUCGAUGUCGGCUCAUCACAUCCUGGGGCUGAAGUAGGUCCCAAGGGUAUGGCUGUUCGCCAUUUAAAGUGGUACGCGAGCUGGGUUUAGAACGUCGUGAGACAGUUCGGUCCCUAUCUGCCGUGGGCGCUGGAGAACUGAGGGGGGCUGCUCCUAGUACGAGAGGACCGGAGUGGACGCAUCACUGGUGUUCGGGUUGUCAUGCCAAUGGCACUGCCCGGUAGCUAAAUGCGGAAGAGAUAAGUGCUGAAAGCAUCUAAGCACGAAACUUGCCCCGAGAUGAGUUCUCCCUGACUCCUUGAGAGUCCUGAAGGAACGUUGAAGACGACGACGUUGAUAGGCCGGGUGUGUAAGCGCAGCGAUGCGUUGAGCUAACCGGUACUAAUGAACCGUGAGGCUUAACCUUACAACGCCGAAGGUGUUU